AUGGCGACCGGCGUACGGGUGAGUAACGCGUAUCCAACCUGCCCUUUACUAUGGGACAGCCCGUCGAAAGGCGGAUUAAUACCGUAUGUUGUCAUGUUGAUGCAUAUUGUCAUGACCAAAGGCUUCGGCCGGUAAAGGAUGGGGAUGCGUCUGAUUAGCUUGCCGGCGGGGUAACGGCCCACCGGGGCGACGAUCAGUAGGGGUUCUGAGAGGAAGGUCCCCCACAUUGGAACUGAGACACGGUCCAAACUCCUACGGGAGGCAGCAG
rnacentral:rRNA from 1 species